rnacentral:lncRNA from 1 species
AUGUAAUUAAUGAACUGUUUUACUGUUCCUCCUCACUGGGCUAUAGAGCUCAUCCCACUCCCUUAACCCCAGUUUUGCAGGUUCUGAGAUAGCUAUGGGAAGUCAAAGUCAGCAAGAGUACAGAGGAAAGUUGUGCUUGAAUGUAUGUUGUAAUAGCGUAGUGGACAUGAUGUAAUUAAAAGAUUAGUUGUAAUGUCAUGUAUAGAUAUGUACUGUCGUAUACUGGAUAGACUUGUGCUUUUCCUAGUAUCAUUGCUAUAGUGUGAUGUAUGAUUAAUCCCCUGUACAUGAAUCCUGUUUUACGUUUCUUGAUGAGAAAUGUGUGAGUUAGGCUUAAUGUAUGGCUUCGAUGAGAUACCAGUG